CCACCACGUACCAACAGCACCCGCUCGAGGCCCUCUGUCAGUACCUCCAGGAACUCCAUGUCUGUAGGGCAUCUGGUCAAGGAGGCAGCACGAGGACCAAGGGGCACCCAGGGAAAUUUAGCUCAUCAGUAAGAGUGAGGCCUGACCCUGCCAUCCGCCCCUGCCCCCUGAACCAAGAAGGCCACUGACUUCUCGCUCCCGUUCAGUCUUGGUCAGCCUCAUCUGCCGGAGCAUCUGGGAUCGCUGUUCCAUCAUCAGUGUCCGCUCGUAGGUAUAUGCGGAGAUGUCACUGUUAUGCUGGGGAAAGGGUGAGCUGUGAGGACUGGGCUACGUGGGGCAGGAUAUCCACGGGGCCACAUCAGGGCAGGUGGCUCACCAUCUCCACCACCUCCACCUCUGCUUCAAGGCGCAGGUGGUAUAGGAAGACGGCCAGAUCUUUCUUCAUCUGGAUGCUGUUGUCGUCCAUCUGGGCCACCGUGAAGAUACGCAUCCGGCACUUCCUCCAAACCUGUGGCGACAGCAGCUGGUGGUUCAUUCAUACCCCACCCCUCCAAGGGCCCAGUCCCCGUCACGGGGUCCAUCCACCUGGCCCACCUUGUGCUGGCGCAGCAGGAAGGGCAAGAGCAUGAGCAUGCCACCGUCAUGGACGAUCCACCACACGUCGAUGUGGCCCUCCAGGUAGCGUUCGUGGUUGCUGGGGUAGAAGGCGAUGUUCUUGGGCACAAGCAGGGCCAGGUGGGCAGCCGUGGUGCAGCGCACGGUAUC